GGGAGUGAUAGGCUUCGAUAGGAAGGAUCAUUUUAUAUAUGCAUGUAAAGUACCCAGGAAUCUUUUAAAACUUCUUGGAAAAGACUAAGUGCAAACAAAGUCGCUUCAGUUAAGUCUCCAUAUUUUGGAAGCUUAGCUCUCGCAUACGCCUAAAUUUAGGUCUAGCGAGUGUUCACUUUUUAGACAUCCGAUAUAAAAAGUGGGCAUAAUUUAUCGGGUUAAGGAUUUGUAAAUGCUUGAUAUAAAUCCUAACAAUUUAAAGCUCGGUGUUUAUCUUUAUUGUAUAUUCUCUAGGAUAAACAUUUAAACCAAUUGAAUAUAAUAAACAUGUAGAGUUAUUUAAAAUUUCUUCUUACACGCGGGUUCGAAUCCCGCCACUUCCACAC
rnacentral:tmRNA from 2 species